rnacentral:tRNA from 1 species
UCCCUGGUGGCCCAGUGGGUAAAGUGUCUGCCUGCCAUGUGGGAGACCCGGGUUUGAUCCCCGGCUUGGGAA